UAACACGUGGGCAACCUGCCUGUAAGAUCGGGAUAACGCCGGGAAACCGGGGCUAAUACCGGAUAGUUUUUUCCUCCGCAUGGAGGAAAAAGGAAAGACGGCUUCGGCUGUCACUUACAGAUGGGCCCGCGGCGCAUUAGCUUGUUGGUGGGGUAACGGCUCACCAAGGCAACGAUGCGUAGCCGACCUGAGAGGGUGAUCGGCCACAUUGGGACUGAGACACGGCCCAAACUCCUACGGGAGGCAGCAGUAGGGAAUCUUCCGCAAUGGACGAAAGUCUGACGGAGCAACGCCGCGUGAGUGAAGAAGGCCUUCGGGUCGUAAAACUCUGUUGCCGGGGAAGAACAAGUGCCGUUCGAACAGGGCGGCGCCUUGACGGUACCCGGCCAGAAAGCCACGGCUAACUACGUGCCAGCAGCCGCGGUAAUACGUAGGUGGCAAGCGUUGUCCGGAAUUAUUGGGCGUAAAGCGCGCGCAGGCGGCUUCUUAAGUCUGAUGUGAAAUCUUGCGGCUCAACCGCAAGCGGUCAUUGGAAACUGGGAGGCUUGAGUGCAGAAGAGGAGAGUGGAAUUCCACGUGUAGCGGUGAAAUGCGUAGAGAUGUGGAGGAACACCAGUGGCGAAGGCGGCUCUCUGGUCUGUAACUGACGCUGAGGCGCGAAAGCGUGGGGAGCAAACAGGAUUAGAUACCCUGGUAGUCCACGCCGUAAACGAUGAGUGCUAAGUGUUAGAGGGUUUCCGCCCUUUAGUGCUGCAGCUAACGCAUUAAGCACUCCGCCUGGGGGAGUACGGCCGCAAGGCUGAAACUCAAAGGAAUUGACGGGGGCCCGCACAAGCGGUGGAGCCAGGUGGUUUAAUUCGAAGCAACGCGAAGAACCUUACCAGGUCUUGACAUCCUCUGACCUCCCUGGAGACAGGGCCUUCCCCUUCGGGGGACAGAGUGACAGGUGGUGCAUGGUUGUCGUCAGCUCGUGUCGUGAGAUGUUGGGUUAAGUCCCGCAACGAGCGCAACCCUUGACCUUAGUUGCCAGCAUUCAGUUGGGCACUCUAAGGUGACUGCCGGUGACAAACCGGAGGAAGGUGGGGAUGACGUCAAAUCAUCAUGCCCCUUAUGACCUGGGCUACACACGUGCUACAAUGGAUGGUACAAAGGGCUGCGAGACCGCGAGGUUAAGCCAAUCCCAGAAAACCAUUCCCAGUUCGGAUUGCAGGCUGCAACCCGCCUGCAUGAAGCCGGAAUCGCUAGUAAUCGCGGAUCAGCAUGCCGCGGUGAAUACGUUCCCGGGCCUUGUACACACCGCCCGUCACACCAC
rnacentral:rRNA from 2 species